GUGCUGACCUCGCUAGAGGAAGGGUUAUGGCCGAUUUAGCUCCCGGGGACUAACUGACAUUGCAAUGGCUAGUAUCAAGGGAUGACUACAGAUCCAACUACAGUAUAAAGCACUGUUAUUGGUGUGGUGCAGUAUGUGGCCAUCAGUGUGGUGCAGUAUGUGGCCAUCAGUGUGGUGCAGUAUAUGGCCAUCAGCGUGGUGCAGUAUAUGGCCAUCAGUGUGGUGCAGUAUAUGGCCAGCAGUGUGGUGCAGUAUAUGGCCAUCAGUGUGGUGCAGUAUAUGGCCAUCAGUGUGGUGCAUUGGUGCAGUAUGUGGCCAUCAGUGUGGUGCAGUAUAUGGCCAUCAGUGUGGUGCAUUGGUGCAGUAUGUGGCCAUCAGUGUGGUGCAGUAUAUGGCCAUCAGUGUGGUGCAGUAUAUGGCCAUCAGUGUGGUGCAGUAUGUGGCCAUCAGUGUGGUGCAGUAUGUGGGGACAACGGACCAUGAGUGAAGCUUCAGACUCUACACAAUAGUAUUCCUGGAGGUGACGGCUGAUGAACGUGAAGGCCAACGGAGAAGUGACAGAACCUUGAGCAAGAUUUAACACCCACCAUGUUACUUCAGCCUCCUCAGUUAAGUUACUUGUAUAUCUUAGCUAGUAUGGUCAUCCCAUAAACCACUCAACAGUGUGGUACACUGGGCAGGGAGAAUGUGUGGAGCGUGUGUGGAGCCUGGCCGGCUGUGUGUAUGGCCGGGCCGACUGAGUGAGGGACCUAGUGGUGUGUGGGGCCUGGUAAUCUGUGUGCAUGGCCUUGCAGACUGUAUGUUGGAGGGUUGUGUGUGUGGACUGACUGUAGACAAGUUGAUCUUAAAGUAAAAUUAAUAUUACUUGUAGUGACAGGACUACAUGCCUAUUACUUACUAGAGAAAAUAGUAGUAGUAUAGUAGUGAAAAUAGCAAGUGGUUUGUGGUUGGGUUUCAACUAAUUAACUAACUAACUAGCUAAUGUAACCUAACUUAGAAUAAUCGUAAUUAACCUAGACUAAACCAAAUGAAUAUUAAGUUGUCUAUUAUACAGUAAAUAUAUAAGAUAAACUUGUCCAAGAACAUAAAUUCAAAGCAUUUAAUUAGCCACUUACGUUAACUGACAAUGAAUAGAAGAAAGUUAAUUUUGCAGUUAGAUAAAAUUGAGACGUAUAAAUUAUUAAAAAAUUAUAACUUAUGGACAGUUGGUCUAAGUGUUGAUGGAAAAUGUAUGCUUAAGGUUUUUUUUUACAUUAAUUACAACUUUAUACAUGUUGUAGGUGACAGCUGAUGUACUUGAAGGCCAACGGAGAAGUGACAGAACCUUGAGCAAGAUUUAACACCCAGCAUGUUACUUCAGCCUCAUCAGUUAAGUUACUUGUAUAUCUCCGCUAGUAUGGUCAGCCCAUAAACCACUCAACACUGUGCUCCUACACUG